AUUGAACGCUGGCGGCAUGCCUUACACAUGCAAGUCGAACGCGAAAGGGGGGCAACUCCUGAGUAGAGUGGCGCACGGGUGAGUAAUGCAUCGGAACGUGUCCUGUAGCGGGGGAUAACCUAGCGAAAGCUAGGCUAAUACCGCAUACGUCCUACGGGAGAAAGUGGGGGAUCGUAAGACCUCACACUAUAGGAGCGGCCGAUGCCGGAUGAGCUAGUUGGUGGGGUAAGCGCUCACCAAGGCGACGAUCCGUAGUUGGUCUGAGAGGAUGAUCAGCCAGACUGGGGCUGAGACACGGCCCCGACUCCGGCGGGAGGCAGCGGUGGGGAAUUUUGGACAGUGGUGGAAACCCUGAACCAGCCAUGCCGCGUGAGUGAAGAAGGCGUUCGGGUUGUAAAGCUCUUUCGGCCGGGACGAAAUCGCACGCGUGAAUAUCGCGUGUGGAUGACGGUACCGGUAGAAGAAGGACCGGCUAACUACGUGCCAGCCGCCGCGGUAAGAC
rnacentral:rRNA from 1 species